rnacentral:rRNA from 2 species
ACGGGAGGCAGCAGUGGGGGAUAUUGCACAAUGGGGGAAACCCUGAUGCAGCGACGCCGCGUGAGUGAUGAAGUAUUUCGGUAUGUAAAGCUCUAUCAGCAGGAAAGAUAAUGACGGUACCUGACUAAGAAGCACCGGCUAAAUACGUGCCAGCAGCCGCGGUAAUACGUAUGGUGCAAGCGUUAUCCGGAUUUACUGGGUGUAAAGGGAGCGCAGACGGCAUGGCAAGCCAGAUGUGAAAGGCAGGGGCUCAACUCCUGGACUGCAUUUGGAACUGUCAAGCUAGAGUAUCGGAGAGGUAAGUGGAAUUCCUAGUGUAGCGGUGAAAUGCGUAGAUAUUAGGAGGAACACCAGUGGCGAAGGCGGCUUACUGGACGAUAACUGACGUUGAGGCUCGAAAGCGUGGGGAGCAAACAGGAUUAGAUACCCUGGUA